rnacentral:rRNA from 1 species
GAGUUUGAUCGUGGCUCAGAUUGAACGCUGGCGGCAUGCUUUACACAUGCAAGUCGAACGGCAGCACGGGGGCAACCCUGGUGGCGAGUGGCGAACGGGUGAGUAACACAUCGGAACGUGUCCUCUUGUGGGGGAUAACCUGGCGAAAGCCAGGCUAAUACCGCAUAAGCUCGUGAGAGGAAAGCGGGGGACCUGAAAGGGCCUCGCGCGGGAGGAGCGGCCGAUGUCCGAUUAGCUAGUAGGUAGGGUAAAGGCCUACCUAGGCGACGAUCGGUAGCUGGUCUGAGAGGAUGAUCAGCCACACUGGGACUGAGACACGGCCCAGACUCCUACGGGAGGCAGCAGUGGGGAAUCUUGCGCAAUGGGGGCAACCCUGACGCAGCCAUGCCGCGUGAACGAUGAAGGCCUUAGGGUUGUAAAGUUCUUUUGCCCGUGACGAUGAUGACGGUAACGGGAGAAUAAGCUCCGGCUAACUUCGUGCCAGCCGCCGCAGUAAU